rnacentral:rRNA from 1 species
AUUGAACGCUGGCGGCAGGCCUAACACAUGCAAGUCGAACGAGUGGCGGACGGGUGAGUAAUGUCUGGGAAACUGCCUGAUGGAGGGGGAUAACUACUGGAAACGGUAGCUAAUACCGCAUACCAUCGGAUGUGCCCAGGUGGGAUUAGCUAGUUGGUGGGGUAAAGGCUCACCUAGGCGACGAUCCCUAGCCGGUCUGAGAGGAUGACAGGCCGCACGGGAACUGAGACACGGUCAAGACGCCUACGGGAGGCAGCAGUGGGGAAUAUGGCACAAUGGGCGCAAGCCUGAUGGAGCGAUGUCGCGUGGAUGAGGGAGGCCUUAGGGUUGUAAAGUACUUACAGUGGGGAGGCGUUACCCGGAGAAGAAGCGCCGGCUAACUCCGUGCCAGCAGCCGCGGUAAUUC